AUUUGUUUUGAUUGAAAGUAGAUAGAAAGAAGGGACGAAAUUAACACGAAAUUGAAAUUGUACGGUUUAGGAAGUGUGAAGUAGCUUAUUGCGUUAAAUUGGAUUUGUAUCCCAUUAUCCGGCUACGAUUUGUAUUAUUACGUUCACGGCGAGGCAUUGGAAGAACAUAUUGGUAGUAAUAGGGUGACCAAUCUUUUAGCAUAUCUCCACCAGAAAGCACAGGUGUGUGAGGCUCAAAAGACCCCGAAAAUCUCCCCAACAAAUCUAAAAGAUUGUGGUUCAAUGUUAAAUAUGCCUAUGAGUACUCGCAGUGCGAAGGUCGCAGAGACUGGCAGUGAAUCUCACUGCCAAUUAUGUACGGAAAAGGACACGGAAAGGAUGGUUAGCUGCGGCGGCUGCAAAACUUGGUGGCAUUUUGAGUGCGUUGGUGUCAACGACAGCAUCGCGGAGCCGGACAGAACAUUCACUUGUCCGAAUUGCCAGCAGCCUUCGCUGGUCAUUCCUACGGUCGUGGAAAAUCCCGACAGCAAGUCGUAUAAAUCGGUUAGUUCAUCCGGCAGGACCAGUUCCAGUGCUCGAGCGAAGAGAGCACAACUACAACUAGACAAGCUGGAGGCGCAGAA